UCCCGCAACGAGCGCAACCCCUGUCGAUAGUUGCCAUCAUUGAGUUGGGCACUUUAUCGAGACUGCCGGUGACAAACCGGAGGAAGGUGGGGAUGACGUCAAGUCCUCAUGGCCCUUAUGGGUAGGGCUUCACACGUCAUACAAUGGUCGGUACAGAGGGUUGCCAAGCCGCGAGGCGGAGCCAAUCCCAGAAAGCCGAUCGUAGUCCGGAUUGCAGUCUGCAACUCGACUGCAUGAAGUCGGAAUCGCUAGUAAUCGCGGAUCAGCAUGCCGCGGUGAAUACGUUCCCGGGUCUUGUACACACCGCCCGUA
rnacentral:rRNA from 1 species